rnacentral:rRNA from 1 species
GUAACCUGCCCUGUACACACGGAUAACAUACCGAAAGGUAUGCUAAUACGAGAUAAUAUGCUUUUAUCGCAUGGUAGAAGUAUCAAAGCUCCGGCGGUACAGGAUGGACCCGCGUCUGAUUAGCUAGUUGGUAAGGCAACGGCUUACCAAGGCGACGAUCAGUAGCCGACCUGAGAGGGUGAUCGGCCACAUUGGAACUGAGACACGGUCCAAACUCCUACGGGAGGCAGCAGUGGGGAAUAUUGCACAAUGGGCGAAAGCCUGAUGCAGCAACGCCGCGUGAGCGAUGAAGGCCUUCGGGUCGUAAAGCUCUGUCCUCAAGGAAGAUAAUGACGGUACUUGAGGAGGAAGCCCCGGCUAACUACGUGCCAGCAGCCGCGGUAAUACGUAGGGGGCUAGCGUUAUCCGGAAUUACUGGGCGUAAAGGGUGCGUAGGUGGUUUCUUAAGUCAGAGGUGAAAGGCUACGGCUCAACCGUAGUAAGCCUUUGAAACUGGGAAACUUGAGUGCAGGAGAGGAGAGUGGAAUUCCUAGUGUAGCGGUGAAAUGCGUAGAUAUUAGGAGGAACACCAGUUGCGAAGGCGGCUCUCUGGACUGUA